UACGAAGGGAGCUAGCGUUGUUCGGAAUCACUGGGCGUAAAGCGCACGUAGGCGGAUGUGUCAGUCAGGGGUGAAAGCCCGGGGCUCAACCCCGGAACUGCCUUUAAGACUGCAUCGCUUGAAUCCGGGAGAGGUGAGUGGAAUUCCGAGUGUAGAGGUGAAAUUCGUAGAUAUUCGGAAGAACACCAGUGGCGAAGGCGGCUCACUGGACCGGUAUUGACGCUGAGGUGCGAAAGCGUGGGGAGCAAA
rnacentral:rRNA from 1 species